UCGGGUAUGGUGUAACGGCUAACAUUGCCGCCUCUCAUGCAUCAGGACUCGUCUAAAGCGCGCGGCAGCUCGGGGUUCGAUUCCCCGUACCCGAA